ensembl:snRNA U6 U6 spliceosomal RNA
GUACUCACUUUGGCAGCACAUAUAUGAAAAUUGGAAUCAUACGGAGAAGAUUAGCAUGGCCCCUGUGAAGGGCCGACAAGCAAAUCUGUGAAGUUUUACAUAAUAUU